GAUGAACGCUGGCGGCGUGCCUAAUACAUGCAAGUCGAGCGAACAGACGAGGAGCUUGCUCCUCUGACGUUAGCGGCGGACGGGUGAGUAACACGUGGAUAACCUACCUAUAAGACUGGGAUAACUUCGGGAAACCGGAGCUAAUACCGGAUAACAUGUUGAACCGCAUGGUUCAACAGUGAAAGACGGUUUUGCUGUCACUUAUAGAUGGAUCCGCGUCGCAUUAGCUAGUUGGUAAGGUAACGGCUUACCAAGGCAACGAUGCGUAGCCGAACUGAGAGGGUGAUCGGCCACACUGGAACUGAGACACGGUCAAGACUACUACGGGAGGCAGCAGUAGGGAAUCUUCCGCAAUGGGCGAAAGCCUGACGGAGCAACGCCGCGUGAGUGAAGAAGGUCUUCGGAUCGUAAAACUCUGUUAUUAGGGAAGAACAAAUGUGUAAGUAACUAUGCACGUCUUGACGGUACCUAAUCAGAAAGCCACGGCUAACUACGUG
rnacentral:rRNA from 1 species